CCCAGGUCAGGCGAGGCCACCCGCUGAGUUUAAGCAUAUCAAUAAGCGGAGGAGAAGAAACUUACAAGGAUUCCCCUAGUAACGGCGAGCGAACCGGGAGCAGCCCAGCUUGAGAAUCGGACGGUGCCCUCGCCGUCCGAAUUGUAGUCUGUAGAAGCUUCCUCAGUGACGGACCGGGUGCAAGUCUCCUGGAAGGGGGCGCCUGAGAGGGUGAGAGUCCCGUCGUGCCUGGAACCUGUCGCACCACGAGGUGUUGUCUGCGAGUCGGGUUGUUUGGGAAUGCAGCCC
rnacentral:rRNA from 3 species